AUUAAACGCUGGCGGCAUGCCUUACACAUGCAAGUCGAACGGCAGCACGGGGGCAACCCUGGUGGCGAGUGGCGAACGGGUGAGUAAUGCAUCGGAACGUACCUUUCAGUGGGGGAUAACGUAGCGAAAGUUACGCUAAUACCGCAUAUUCUGUGAGCAGGAAAGCAGGGGAUCGCAAGACCUUGCGCUGAUUGAGCGGCCGAUGUCAGAUUAGCUAGUUGGUGAGGUAAAGGCUCACCAAGGCGACGAUCUGUAGCGGGUCUGAGAGGAUGAUCCGCCACACUGGAACUGAGACACGGUCCAGACUCCUACGGGAGGCAGCAGUGGGGAAUUUUGGACAAUGGGGGGCAACCCUGAUCCAGCCAUGCCGCGUGAGUGAAGAAGGCCU
rnacentral:rRNA from 1 species